rnacentral:tRNA from 1 species
UGGCUCAGUUGGUAGAGCAUGGCACUUGAAAUACCAGGGUUGUGGGUUUGAUUCCCAC